rnacentral:rRNA from 1 species
UGACCUCGGAUCAGGUAGGAAGACCCGCUGAACUUAAGCAUAUCAAUAAGCGGAGGAAAAGAAACCAACAGGGAUUGCCCUAGUAACGGCGAGUGAAGCGGCAACAGCUCAAAUUUGAAAUCUGGCUUCGGCCCGAGUUGUAAUUUGCAGAGGAAGCUUUAGGCGCGGCACCUUCUGAGUCCCCUGGAACGGGGCGCCAUAGAGGGUGAGAGCCCCGUAUAGUUGGAUGCCUAGCCUGUGUAAAGCUCCUUCGACGAGUCGAGUAGUUUGGGAAUGCUGCUCAAAAUGGGAGGUAAAUUUCUUCUAAAGCUAAAUACCGGCCAGAGACCGAUAGCGCACAAGUAGAGUGAUCGAAAGAUGAAAAGCACUUUGAAAAGAGGGUUAAAUAGCACGUGAAAUUGUUGAAAGGGAAGCGCUUGUGACCAGACUUGCGCCGGGCGGAUCAUCCGGUGUUCUCACCGGUGCACUCCGCCCGGCUCAGGCCAGCAUCGGUUCUCGCGGGGGGAUAAAGGUCCUGGGAACGUAGCUCCUCCGGGAGUGUUAUAGCCCGGGGCGUAAUGCCCUCGCGGGGACCGAGGUUCGCGCAUCUGCAAGGAUGCUGGCGUAAUGGUCAUCAGCGAC